UUCAACCUCAGGUGAAAUAUGAUGAGAUGCUGAUGAGACAAGGAUGGAGGUGUGUGUUUGUGUGUGUGUGUGUGUGUGUGUGUGUGUGUGUGUGACCCUUUCUAGCAGGAGGGCAAGUGACUGAUGGAAUCUGCCGCUAAAGUCUCUGCCUGAAGAGCCAUUUGCUUCUCAUGUGCUGGGGGAUUUAGAAGGGGCCUCACCAGACGACAUGGUCAACAUGGACGAUAACCUGACGAUGGACAAUGGCAGUCACAGCCUGGACAAGAAAACAAAAAACAUUGAUGUGUAGGUGACUCACCACAUUACAGCCACCUGCUUCCUGUUGCCAUGGUGACAGAUGGACGGGGCUCAGAAGCAUCUUACCCAGCUCAUCACAGCACUGAGUAAAAAGGCUGGAACAGAUUCAUUUCCUUCCAUUAGUGAUUGCAAUAAUAACAACAGAAUGAUAGAAGCAUUUAUUGUGGUGGGAGUCACUUUGGAUAGAAAUGUUCUGGAAAUAAAUAAAUAAAUGUAAAUGCAAUCAAA